GUGGGGAAUAUUCCGCAAUGGACGAAAGUCUGACGGAGCAACGCCGCGUGAGUGAUGAAGGUUUUCGGACUGUAAAGCUCUGUUGUUUAGGACGAAAGUGCCUGUUGCAAAUAGUUACAGGUAUUGACGGUACUGAACGAGGAAGCCACGGCUAACUACGUGCCAGCAGCCGCGGUAAUACGUAGGUGGCAAGCGUUGUCCGGAAUUAUUGGGCGUAAAGAGCAUGUAGGCGGGAAUCUAAGUCUGUUGUGAAAAUGCGGGGCUCAACCCCGUAUUGCGAUGGAAACUGGGUUUCUUGAGUGCAGGAGAGGAAAGGGGAAUUCCCAGUGUAGCGGUGAAAUGCGUAGAUAUUGGGAGGAACACCAGUGGCGAAGGCGCCUUUCUGGACUGUGUCUGACGCUGAGAUGCGAAAGCCAGGGUAGCGAACGGGAUUAGAUACCCCUGUAGUCC
rnacentral:rRNA from 1 species